CCUACGGGAGGCAGCAGUGAGGAAUAUUGCUCAAUGGACGAGAGUCUGAACCAGCCAAGUAGCGUGAAGGAUGACUGCCCUAUGGGUUGUAAACUUCUUUUAUAUGGGAAUAAAAUGUUCCACGUGUGGGAUUUUGUAUGUACCAUAUGUAUAAGGAUCGGCUAACCCAGUGCCAGCAGCCGAGUGAAUACGGAGGAUCCGAGCGUUAUCUGGAUUUAUUGGGUGUAAAGGGAGCGUAGGGGGAUUGUUAAGUCAGUUGUGAAAGCUUGCGGCUCAACCGUAAAAUUGCAGUUGAAACUGGCAAUCUAGAGUACAGUAGAGGUGAGUGGAAUUCGAGGUGUAGCGGUGAAAUGCUUAGAUAUCACGAAGAACUCCGAUUGCGAAGGCAGUUCACUGGACUGCAACUGACACUGAGGCGCGAAAGUGUGGGUAUCAAACAGGAUUAGAUACCCCAGUAGUC
rnacentral:rRNA from 1 species